CUUGGUCAUUUAGAGGAAGUAAAAGUCGUAACAAGGUUUCCGUAGGUGAACCUGCGGAAGGAUCAUUAUUGAUUUUUAAAGAUGUGCUGGCACUCCUUCACCGGUUUGCAUGUGCACUCUGCAAAAUCUCCUUCUCUUACCCCACUGUGCACACCCAAGUAGACAAACAGAGUUACAGAGCAAUCUGUGUAAUUCCUGAUUUGCCUAUGUUUUUAUCAAACACCAAUAACAAUAUCAGAAUGAUCUAUAUAGUAAGCUUUUAACAAGCUGAAAUUUAAUACAACUUUCAACAAUGGAUCUCUUGGUUCUCGCAUCGAUGAAGAACGCAGCGAAUUGCGAUAUGUAAUGUGAAUUGCAGAAUUCAGUGAAUCAUCGAAUCUUUGAACGCACCUUGCACCCUCUGGCAUUCCGGAGGGUAUGCCUGUUUGAGUGUCAUUAAUCUCUCAACGCAAGAAACUUUGUCUUCUUGUGCUUGGAUAUUGAAGGUUUUGCUGGCGCAAACAACUGUCAGCUCCUUUUAAAUGUAUUAGCAGAGCAGUAUGGGACUGGCCUCGGUUUGAUAAGAAACUUUAUCUAUGCUGUCGCUGGGUUUUCCUCUUUGUGCUCAGCUUCAAAUUGUCUUCGGACUGUCUCUUGAGGCAACAAAAUUUCUAUUGAUCGACCUCAAAUCAGGUAGGACUACCCGCUGAACUUAAGCAUAUCAAUAAGCGGAGGA
rnacentral:rRNA from 1 species